rnacentral:misc_RNA from 1 species
GUGCAAUUGGUUAAAACUCGGUCUAAAUAACUUAGUGAUGGAAGGGAGAAUAUCCAGGAUGGUAUUGUUCCGUUCAGGGAGUUCCCUUUAAUGAACAAAUACUCUGUGUGGGUGAAAUUCGAGAGAGAUUCAAGAAUAGACCCCGAGAGAUUGGAAGAAUCAAGCGAGAAAUAAUGCAAUGAAGUUAGAUAGAUAGGCGUUUGAUUAUAGAAAUCAAAUAUUUGAAAUUUUUGAAGACGGAGUUGCAUUUGGUUAUAAUUUUUGUAAAGAUUUUUUAUUUUAUUAAAUGUACUUUUUUCUAUCGAGAUAUGAUUUUAACGUACAAUCAAAUCUGCUUUAAAAGAGUAAUAUCUCG